rnacentral:rRNA from 3 species
AAACGACUCUCGGCAACGGAUAUCUCGGCUCUUGCAUCGAUGAAGAACGUAGCGAAAUGCGAUACUUGGUGUGAAUUGCAGAAUCCCGUGAACCAUCGAGUCUUUGAACGCAAGUUGCGCCUGAAGCCAUUAGGCCAAGGGCACGCCUGCCUGGGUGUCGCA